UACGUAGGGGGCAAGCGUUGUCCGGAUUUAUUGGGCGUAAAGAGCGUGUAGGCGGCCAGACAGGUCAGCUGUGAAAACUCGAGGCUCAACCUCGAGACGUCGGUUGAAACCGUCUGCUAGAGUCCGGAAGAGGAGAGUGGAAUUCCCGGUGUAGCGGUGAAAUUCGUAGAUAUUCGCAAGAACACCAGUGGCGAAGGCGGCUGACUGGUCCGGUUCUGACGCUGAGGCGCGAAAGCGUGGGGAGCAAACAGG
rnacentral:rRNA from 1 species